rnacentral:lncRNA from 1 species
UUUUUGAGCCUUGGGUGCAUGCUUAAGUGAAGUUUUAUUAUACUAUUUAUUAACUCAAUUUAUCUUCUGGUUGCUGAUUUAUGACCAAAUAUUUCAUGUUUGCCUUACUCAAAUAUUUUUCCAUAACUUAUAGCCAUAUUUUAUGGUAACUAAUGAAUUCAACCACCACAUUUUGGUUCAAAAUUCUGUGUGAUUAAAUUGGCU